AAUCAGGGAGGAGUUCGCGGACAGCUUGGAGCAGCCAAAUCCGAACACUCUAGGGUUCCUCCGUCCGUCCAUGGCCGCUGGGCUGCAUCGCCGCUCACGCCGUUGCCACCGCCCCAUCGACGUCGACCCCGACGCCACCGCUGCUCUCUAGAUCUCAGUCUCGCCGGCGCUCCUCACUGCCUUGCUCCCCUCUACUGGACAGCUGCUCGCCGGUGUCGUCUUUCUCCUGUACUGGUCGGCGGCAUCUCGUUCUCGGGCACUAACAAGUCCAUGUCCCCUUCAUUCUGCACGAGAUCUCUAGCCCGACAGCCUCCACCAGACACCACGGGUUCCCACUCCUGGAGGAGUUCACCAACAGCCAUCGACAACCAGAUCCAAUACUUCUGGUGUUGUUACCGUCAGACGAGACCAACAGAUCCGUGCCAGCAGACUCGAAUACUGAGUCUGGAUGCCAGGCGAAGCCACGGUAGGGCUUGCGGCGGAGACGGGAGGUAUCUCCAACUCGUUCCACACAGUCAGCUGACAGGGUCAACCCCGAGGCGUAAUGCACCCUUCAUCGGACCUGAAGGCUGAGCUGACUCCUGGUGGUGAGGUGACGUUAAAUGUCCGGAGAUGCAUGCAGCACAUGCUGAAUGCAAAUGAGAAGAGGAUGUACCGCGUGUGGCUCGCGAGGUGGAGGGAUCCGUGCUUUGUGAGCUUUGCAGGGCAGACAAUGAAGUGGACUGGGAUGAACUUUAAUUGAUAGCGUACAAAAUUGAUUGGCUGAAGAAGUUGAUGUUCCCAGUGCUUUUCGUGGACCGCUGGUCAUUAUACAUUCUCGAUACCGAGAAGAAGGUUGUGAUGGUGCUUGACCCAACCGAGACAGGUCCGACAGAUGAGAUGAAGAGGAAGCACGAGGCAUUAGCGAGGAAGUUCCGGUUUAGAUUCUGCCACCUGUCCAAUGUCAUGUUCGGUGCAGGGUUGGUCGAGACGACUGGCUGGACAUUUGUGUACCCCCUGGUGGCGCAGCACGAACCAUGCAUGAGGUGAGUUCAUCUCUGUGGAUCAUGAAAAAGGAAAAAGAAAAUGCCUGCCUUGACACUAAUAUCCGGACACCAUGCUAGUACAGGAUAGCGGUGUGUAUGUCAUGCACUACAUUCUGGAGUUUUUUUUUUUUUGAAUAAAAAGGUAGGGUACCUUCUACCUUAUGCAUUCAAAACGGGCAGUGCCCGGAUGACCGAGGUUAUUUACAUGAAGGUGAUGUUAACGCUGCGCGGGGGAUGCAGCAGGCCAUCACCAGACCUUAACAUGAAAAGAGGAGUAGGAAGGGAAAGAAAAAGGGAAAAGAGGGAAAGAGAAAGAAGAAGAAGAGGGGAGCCGGCAUGUGUCUAUCCUGAAGUAAGAAGAUAUGCCCUGCCCGCAUGGUGGCCCUGGAGUCGGCAUCGCAUGCGCGCGCGGUCCACAACGUGAGCAACUCAGCCGCCUCAUGGAAGAUCCGCCGCGACCGCCAGAGUUCAUUCCUGAAGACCUGCGCGUUUCUGGCGUUCCAUAGGCUGGUUGCGCAUGCGGCGAAAAGGAUAUGCCACAGCUUGCCAUGGAUGGCCCCUGGUUGCUCCGCCUUGAAGAGUGUGGGAUUCCAUCGGAGGAGACGGCAAUCUCCGCCAGUCUGCAUCUUAGUAUGACAUGGCUCAUUGUUUCUGUGGCUGGGCAUAGAUCACAUCCAUUGUGUGCUACAAUCUUGUCCCAUCUUCAUUCUGGAGUUCACUGGUCUUUACCUUCGUUCGAUGCUUACCCAACAGGCACAGCUUGAGCACCUAAAUAAGAAAGAAAAUUGCAUACGAGGUCGUGAUCAUGAAGGGGAACAAGGGAGAUAUCCUGUAUUUCCUGCACAACGAAAUCGUUGGCUGUGCGUGUGCUUUUCCGUGGAAUUGCCCGUUUACGUUGAUGCCCCACACCCGUUUGUAGGUGAAUAGGCUAUGGGCCUGCGUUAAGUUUUUACUUAAGAGACCUAAGCAGACUAAUUAAAACUACGGACGUGCGAGCAAAGUUUUAUGGACAGAUUACCCCCUAUCUGAAUUCGCAAUGUCAUAAAUAUUGCGAUUUGUGCUCUUACUAAACGUGAAAGGCUUGCACGGCUGUGUUUAUGGCAAAAAAAUGCCUGACUGAAUUUCUAAAUGUACAGAGAUUUGGGCUAUUUGAUUGCAGCAA